UACGUAAGGGCAAGCGUUAUCCGGAUUUACUGGGUGUAAAGGGAGCGUAGACGGUGAGGCAAGUCUGAUGUGAAAAACCCGGGGCGUCAACUCCGGGAUUGCAUUGGAAACUGUCUGACUUGAGUACUGGAGGGGUAAGCGGAAUUCCUGGUGUAGCGGUGAAAUGCGUAGAUAUCAGGAGGAACACCGGUGGCGAAGGCGGCUUACUGGACAGUAACUGACGUUGAGGCUCGAAAGCGUGGGGAGCAAACAGGAUUAGAUACCCUGGUAGUCCCUGAG
rnacentral:rRNA from 1 species